CGUCCGCUAAGACAAGAACACCUUCGCGUGAUAUGAUGACUGGAGGUAUGAGGGAGACACGAAAGAAGUGGGAUGGUCCCAGGGUGCUGAACCUGGCCAUGGAUCUCUCAGGGCCAUAGACAUCCCCCCACCCCAAGGUGUGCUAUUGGAUAUUAGGGUUUCGUUGGAUGGACCCAGUGACUGCAAGCGUGGAUUCACUCUUCUUCUUGCUGAGUGGCCUGGGAGCUGUGGAUUCCCCAGGCUGUUGGAGUACUCCGGGGUCAUUGGAUCCUCUUCAGAGCCACCCGGCCUCACAGUUGGAUUCUGCAGUGUCCCAGCACGUGCUCGGAUGGAUGAUGACUCCCUCGUAUGCAUUCCUUGGUAAAUCUGAACAAAGUGCAGUUGCUUGACAAGGCUGGCCGUCAGCAAAGACAAGAGGACGUUUGCGUGGGCUGACGACUGGAGGUGCUGAGGAGAACUGGAAAAAGUGAGGCAGGCCCACGUUUCCGAGCGUAGAUGUGGUUAACACGGGAAGAGUGGCCUGAGGGCUGUGGAUUCCCCAGGGUUCUGGAGUACAACGAGGUCAUGGCUCCUCUGCAGACCCGCAUGGCGUGCCCGGAUGUGUACUGCUGCGUCCCAGCACGUGCUUGGAUGGAUGAUGACACCCCUGUAUGCAUUCCUUGGAAAUUCUGAACAAAAUGAGUGAGAACACUGUACCGUCUCCUCAUCGAGUGAGGUCCAGCACGUUUCCUCUCUCAGGCGUAGGGGACAGUGAGGAGCGAGAGGGCCUCAGGGAUACACGGAGACCAAGAUGCGGAUUCAGAGGAACAGAAAGAAGCCCACAGGCGCAUCCUCGUGAGCAGUGACAGUCACACACGUGCACACGCGUGAACACACACAUAGACUCUCUCACAUACCGGCCAAGCGUCCCAGCACGUGCUUAGAUCGAUGAUGACACCCUUGUGUGCAUUCCUUGGAAAAUCUGAACAAAAUGAGUGAGAACACUCUACCAUCUCCUCAUCAAAUCUGAGGUCCAGCACGUUUCCUCUCUCGGGCGUAGGGCACUGUGAGGAGCGAGAGGGCCUCAGGGACCCACGGAGACCAAGAUGCAGAUUCAGAGGAACACAAAGAAGCCCAGAAGCGCGUCCUCGUGCGCAGUUACGGUCACACACGUGCUCACGCGUGAACACACACGUAGACCCUCUCACAUACCGGCCAACGUGCAGUUGCUGGGCAGAGGUGGCCGUCAGGAAAGGCAAGAAGACUUUCGCGUUGUGUGAUGACUGGAGGUGCUCAGGAGAACUGGAAAAGUGAGGUGGGGGCAGGUUAGUAAGCAUGGUCCCGGAUGACUCAGGAAGGUAGGCGUUCACCCCCCCCUAAGAUGUGCCACUGGAUAUUAGGUUUUCCUCAGACGGGCCCAGUGGCUUCAAGAGUAGAUUGACUGUUGCCCUUGCAGAGUGGCCUGAGGGCUGUGGAUUCCCCAGGGUUUUGGAGUACUACGAGGUCAUGGCUCCUCUGCAGACCCGCAUGCAUGCCCGGAUGUGUUCUGCUGCGUCCCAGCACGUGCUUGGAUCGAUGAUGACACCCUUGUAUGCAUUCCUUGGAAAAUCUGAACAAAAUGAGUGAGAACACUCUACCGUCUCCUCAUCGAGUCUGAGGUCCAGCACGUUUCCUCUCUCGGGCGUACGGACAGUGAGGAGCGAGGUAGGUAACCUGCAUAGAUUUGUGAUCCCAUUGCCGGAGGAAUGACGCCCAAAGGGUGUCUUGCAGGACGUAGAGAAGAUAGACAUGCUGAGGCGUCUGUGCCGCUCUCCUUGAGGAUAGGUGAGUUAUGAGAACAUGCCCUUUGGCCACUUUGUUCCCUUGUUUGGGAAUGUGCAAAGCGAAAAGUUUUUCUCCCACAGGGCAUGAUGCGUCCGGCCCGUGAGGCACGCAGGACUUUCGAAGAGCCAGAGAUUUACCUGGAGUGGUGUGUUGGCGGAACAGCGACGCGGGCACUGUUGCGAUGCCCGGUGCAGUUGCUCGGCAAGGCUGGCUGGCGGCAAAAACAAGAAGACUUUCAUAUGGUCUGAUGACUGGAUGUGCCAAGGACAACUGGAAAAAGUGAGGCGGGCACAUGUUACCGAGAGUGGUUCUGGAUAACUCAGGAUGGUGCAGUUGCUGGGCAAGGCUGGCCAUCGGCUAAGACAAGAAGACCUUCACGUGGUCUGAUGACUGGAGGUGCAAGGGAGACCUAGAAGAAAUGGGGCAGCCCAGGGUGCCGAGCAUGGCUGUGGGUCACUGAGGACACCCGAAUCAGGUGGAAUGCCAGGGAAGGAAUACAUACCAGCAGCAGAGCAGCCUGGGGCCAUCCGUAUAAUCCAUAAUACCUGGUGAAGGGAGGAGGAGGAGUCUCACAGGGGUGUUGGCGCACAUUCCAUGAGGAUCCUGGUUUAAACUUUCUUGCGGUGGAAUGCCAGGAAAGGAAUUCCAGCAGCAGAUCAACCUGGGACCAUCUGUAUAAUCCCUGACACCCGGUGAAGUGAGGAGGAGGAGUCUCACAGGGGUGUUGGCCCGCAUUCCAUGAGGAUCCUGGUUUAACCCUUGU